CCUACGGGAGGCAGCAGUGAGGAAUAUUGGUCAAUGGGCGCAAGCCUGAACCAGCCAUGCCGCGUGCAGGAAGACGGCUCUAUGAGUUGUAAACUGCUUUUAUAAAAGAGUAAAGCUGAGUACGUGUAUCCAUUUGUAUGUACUUUACGAAUAAGGAUCGGCUAACUCCGUGCCAGCAGCCGCGGUAAUACGGAGGAUCCGAGCGUUAUCCGGAUUUAUUGGGUUUAAAGGGUGCGUAGAUGGGUUGUUAAGUUAGUGGUGAAAGGUUGGGGCUUAACCGGGGAACUGCCAUUGAUACUGGUGAUCUUGAGGACAGAUGAGGUAGGCGGAAUGCAUGGUGUAGCGGUGAAAUGCUUAGAUAUCAUGCAGAACACCGAUUGCGAAGGCAGCUUACCAAUCUAUAUCUGACGUUGAGGCACGAAAGUGUGGGGAGCAAACAGGAUUAGAUACCCGAGUAGUC
rnacentral:rRNA from 1 species